UACGGAGGGGGCUAGCGUUGUUCGGAAUUACUGGGCGUAAAGCGUGCGCAGGCGGUUUUGUAAGCCAGAUGUGAAAGCCCCGGGCUUAACCUGGGAACUGCAUUUGUGACUGCAUGGCUAGAGUGCGGCAGAGGGGGAUGGAAUUCCGCGUGUAGCAGUGAAAUGCGUAGAUAUGCGGAGGAACACCGAUGGCGAAGGCAAUCCCCUGGGCCUGCACUGACGCUCAUGCACGAAAGCGUGGGGAGCAAACAGG
rnacentral:rRNA from 1 species